CCCUUAGAUGUUCUGGGCCGCACGCGUGCUACACUGAGUGGAUCAGCGGGUCAGGUUGCGCGAAAGCGUUUCCUAAUCUUUAAAUCCGCUCGUGAUGGGGAUUGACGGUUGCAAUUUUCUGCCAUGAACGAGGAAUACCUUGUAAGCGCGGGUCAUCAUCCCGCGCUGAAUACGUCCCUGCCCUUUGUACACACCGCCCGUCGCUCCUACCGAUUGAGUGAUCCGGUGAGGCUCUGGGACCUGGACGGAAAGAGCGUUUCGCUUGUUCUGUUUGGGAAACUUGGUCGAACCUUAUCAUUUAGAGGAAGGAGAAGUCGUAACA
rnacentral:rRNA from 1 species